UUUUGCCUAUUUGAGUGCGCCAAGUCCAUUUCUGCAUCUAUUUCGUGCAGAAAUGACUCCGACUCAAUCCGACACUCUCCAGAUGUGUCGACCAGUCACUAAUACUGUAGCCAAUCCUAUCCAAACCUCCGAAACAUUACAUCCUCCCCCACUACAAAAGUUUCGUCCUCGAAACUUAAUACAUACCUCAAUCCUGAGUCUCAAACAACAAGGGGUAGGACUCCCGCAUCACUGCCUCCGGCUCCCAAGUCGCCUGCCGCUCCUCAUGAUUACUCCACUGCACCUUUACAUAAGUGAAAACCCGAUUGCGUAAUUCUUUCGUUUCACGAGCCA
rnacentral:lncRNA from 1 species